GCUGGCGGCGUGCUUAACACAUGCAAGUCGAGCGGAAAGGCCCUUCGGGGUACUCGAGCGGCGAACGGGUGAGUAACACGUGAGUAAUCUGCCCCUAGCUCUGGGAUAGCUCCGGGAAACCGGGAUUAAUACCGGAUAUGACCACUACGGACAUCUGUUUUGGUGGAAAGAAUUUCGGCUAGGGAUGAGCUCGCGGCCUAUCAGCUUGUUGGUGGGGUAACGGCCUACCAAGGCGACGACGGGUAGCCGGCCUGAGAGGGCGACCGGCCACACUGGGACUGAGACACGGCCCAGACUCCUACGGGAGGCAGCAGUGGGGAAUAUUGCGCAAUGGGCGAAAGCCUGACGCAGCGACGCCGCGUGGGGGAUGAAGGCCUUCGGGUUGUAAACCCCUUUCAGCAGGGACGAAGCGAGAGUGACGGUACCUGCAGAAGAAGCGCCGGCUAACUACGUGCCAGCAGCCGCGGUAACACGUAGGGCGCAAGCGUUGUCCGGAAUUAUUGGGCGUAAAGAGCUCGUAGGCGGUCUGUUGCGUCCGCUGUGAAAACUCGGGGCUUAACCCCGAGCCUGCAGUGGAU
rnacentral:rRNA from 1 species